rnacentral:lncRNA from 10 species
AGAAAAUUGGUAUAUAGGAAAACAAUGUGUUAUGUUGGAGUCUGAGUUGCCAGGUCAACAGAAAACAAAACAAAACAAAAAAAAAACCAACCUCCACUCCAAACGUUUAACUAAAGAGAGAGGUAUGAGCCAGGGUCAAGACAUCUAGAAAGGGUGAGGAGAGGCUCUACCAGCAGGAAGCUCUUCCCACCCCAGUGUCUGAAGGGCAGCUGACAAGAGAAUCUCACUGGAUUUAUGGAGGAGAGACUACCUAAGGGGAGCAGUAAAAAUGAGAGUGCAGCUCUGCCCAGAUGGCCAUGUGAAGUUGGAGUGGGGAAAUGCAGGUUGAUGCUUUGCAGCUCCAGUUUGAAUUCGCUUGGGAGAAGAAACCAUGUCGAGUAGCUGGAUAUCUCAGCUCACUGAAGAGAAGACAGUUGGCCUAAGAAAGAAUUCUCUUUCUCUGGAGUCUGGCAAGAUUUCUGCAGUCCCAGGGAGGAAUCAAAGUAUUACUACCUAACUCUUGCAAAGAUAUUAGAAUAAGCAUAUCAAUAACACUCGGAACAUAUAAACACAGUAUAGAAGUAAAAAAGAAAUGAAAUAAAUCCAUGCUGUUCAUAGUUUAGUUUUGAAUAUACCUGAAUAAAUGUAUUUUGUGGCCAUUACAUUAUUUUUCUGAUGCUUCAGGUGUUUGAACCAUUGAAAU